GCGCGGCUCUGGCACCCACGUAUUCGAUCUUGCGAGAGAUAAAGGACAUCUCAAGCUCGGGUUUAUGGGUGUUGGACCAAGCGG
rnacentral:pre_miRNA from 10 species